AGAACAACAGAGUACUACAUUUUUAUUUUACCACCAUGCUGGAUUUUCAUUUCCUCAAAACAAAAACAAUAACAAAUGCGCCUAGGGGCACAUUUGUUUCGCCUAUCGCAGAUGUCAGCUUUAAUGGCCACUCUGUAGAUUAUUAAGGACCUCACGGACUGUUCACUCGGCGCAGACAGAGAUAGUGCAGGCGCGUCAGUGUCAAGACAGAGAGACUAUAACACUGCUUCUUUUACCAGGCAUCAGACUGUUGAACAGCCAUCACUAGCCGUCUACCAGCUCGUCUUUGUCAUCGUCUGCUUCAGCUCCGAUGGGACAGUUCACCCCGGUCCCCUUCAGACAGCAGUAGCCCUUGGGGACCUUCUUCAGGUACUGCUGGUGGUAGUCUUCCGCGUAGAAGAACUCCUGGCCCUCUAGGACCUCUGUGGUGAUGGAUCCAUAGCCCUUCUCAGAUAACACCUGAAAUGGACACAAGGUCAAAAUACAAGAAAGGUAUCAUGAACGGAGCCAGGAGAUUUCCCUCCUGACCAGGAAAACUUCUAGAUUCCGUUUUUGAGGCAUUAGCCAGGUUACAUGGUCAGGAAAUGCCCUAAUCAUAACAACAGCUACAAACUGACUUCAAGGUUUUGUUCACUAGUCAGAAAAUGUAAGGAAAAUAACCGGAAAUGGUGCUAAAACUGCUCAUUUUUGUUAUCCAUUGCACAACAUUUUGAAAUGUUUUGCUACGAUAUGCCCAGAAAAUGAACCAGGUGCACUUUUUCCAAAGAUAAUGGAUCUGCUCUCUGACUUAGAAAGCAGCGUGGUUGAUUGAUUGACACAUGAAACAGACUCUGUUUCUCUAUAGCAUUGGCUCUGUUCCUCGCGCUCUGGGACAACGCUUGAAAGAGUCCCUGGUAGCUUUGAGCUCUCCAUCAGUGUUGCAACAUGGUGUAAGCACCUCGAGAGCAGGAUUCAAACACUCUACCUGCUGAGGGAGUACUCCUUUGCAGCAAAACACACGGCUUCCUUCCACCCCCAUAUACAUUUAAAGACUAGCACUCUGUGGAGACCCCAACAAAAACAAUCAUUCUAAGGUGUGCUGGAUUGUUCACCUCCACAAGGGGAUCCCUUCAUCCUUCCUCGAUACUUUGCAUCCUCGUUGUCUUGGCCCCGUUCUCAAAACACAUUGGAAGGACCGAGAGGCGGAGAGAGGAUGCCAAAAAUCGCGGAGAGACAUUGUGCUGCUACAGAGCAGUAUUAGUCCCUUAUUUGUCAGGGAGAAAGAAUAAAGCCGCGACAUGCAGUACCAGCCUUCAGCCACAAGGCAGCAGUGAAGAAUUUAGAGUGGGAUUGUGCUGGAGGUGAUGUCCGAGGUGGUGGUUCUCUCUCUAUAUCAAAGCACUGACUGCCCCCAGAAAACAGACUAAUUUUGAUGGAGUGGUUAAGGUUAGUAUUUGAGGAGGUAAGUUGAUCCUAGAUCUGUAGCCAAAGGAUCAUUUAGAACCCGAGCACAUUCAAAACAGGAUUCAAGACCAUCAGUCCUUACUGGCCAAUACGGUUUGUGAUGAGAUAUUUCGGACUGACAUUGCAUCAAAAUCAAACACCACAUUUGGAGAAGUUGAGGGACAAAAAGCAUUGCACUUAUAUAAAAUGUAGGAUAUUCCUAUGGCAAAUGUACUGUUAUAAUAUACACAUUCCCCAAUGAAAGCUGCAAAGGGAUUGCCCACCCUUUCCCCCAAUGGAGGGCAGCUUUUCCGGACUAUAAAUAGGCCCACUACCCACUCAUUAUAGACAGAAAGCCCCAGGGCAUCAGAUGCAUUAGAGGUUUGCUUUUAUAUGAGAGGAAUACAAUGCCCAAGAAAUGGCCUGAUAACAGAGAAGGAAUAGGCUACACUCUCAAGCCUGACUCUAAUGCAAGUCACAAUACGGCAGCCAUUUUGAGCCCAUAAAUCAGAAUGCAUGCAGUCACGUCGUGUCAAAAUGCCGUAGUGGAUCCGCAAGGCUCACUGCGGCUGGAGAAUCGGCUAGCGCUAGUGUUAGCAAUGGGUCUGACUGAAUAGCCUUUGAGUGCAGGGCACCUUAGCGCUACACUAGCCCCAGUGAGCCCUGCAUUGCGAGCUAGCUCAGUCAGCCCAUCUUCACGCCUGUCGGAAAGGAUUGGCUGUCAAAGGCACUACGGCCGAGCGAGCGCGUCUCUCUCCCGUGUGACGACGGAAGGACCGUGGAGAGCGAGCUUCACCGUAGCUCCAGUCAAGCGAGAAAGCAAAGACACCCCACCCACCGUUAGAGGGAGAGAGACGGACGCCCGACACAAAUAAAAUGUGACACACCGAGUAAAGAAAAAGAAAGGUUCACUCUCUAUUUAUCUACCGUAUUCUCUCUAUUUCUACUUCGGAAGGCCCACGCUGUAGAGAGAGAAAGAGAGUGAGAGAGACAGAAAAGCGAGAGACAGAAAGACCAAGAGAGCGACAGAAAGACAGACAGAGAGAGAGAGUGACACACACAAACACAUUGAGUCAUCAGUAGGACAUUAUUAGAGGAGUUUUGCCCUCACCAUGGACAUGGUCAUUUAUGCCAUCUUUAAAAAAAACAUGGUUGACAGUUCUGUCAAAAGCAAGCUAAAGGACUGUUCCUUUUCCCCCCAGUCCUCUUCUGAGUAAUGCUUCACAGAUAAAUGACAUACCAUAAUAUCUAAACAGAGCACACAGCAUCCCAUAAUAAUGUUACUACAAUACAAAUACGUUACUCAAUCAAAGAAAGGUUGCUCGAAAAAAAUACACGUAUAUUCUCAUCUUCACACAGUCUACAAUAUCUUGAGAAAAGUUUUUUUUAAAUGUCUUGGAAAGCAAUACCUCAUUGUGAUAUAAUAUUAUAAUAUGAUGCUCCUGACAUGUUAGAGAUGCCCUAUGUCAGGGAUCAUCAUCUACAUUCAGCCGCAGGACAAUUUCUUCUGGCGCAGAUGGUCAGGGGGUCGGAACAUCAUUUGUAGACUGCAAAGUGACAGCAAAAAGCCCAAAAAAGGAUAUAGUGCCUUCGGAAAGUAUUCAGACCCCAUUGACUUUUUACACAUUUUGUUACGUUACAGCCAUAUUCUAAAAACAAAGAUCUAUCAAUCUACACACAAUACCCCAUAGUGAUACAUUUUUUCUAAUUUAUAAAAACUACUGAAAUAUCAGAAUUACAUAAGUUAUUCAGACACUUUGCCCAAGUUCAAUCUUGGUUUCAUCAGACCAGAGAAUCUUGUUUCUCAUGGUCUGAGAGUGUUUUGGUGCUUUUUGGCAAACUCCAAGCCUGCUUUUUACUGAGGAGUGGCUUCCGUCUGGCCACUCUACGAUAAAGGCCUGAUUGGUGGAGUGCUGCAGAGAUCUUUUUUCAAGGUUCUCUCAUCUCCACAGAGGAACUCUAGAGCUCUGUCAGAGUGACCAUCGCCAAGGCCCUUCUCCCCCGAUUGAUCAGUUUGAACGGGCAGCCAGCUCUAGGAAGAGUCUUGGUGGCUACAAACGUGUCCAUUUAAGGAUGAUGGAGGCCACUGUGUUCUUUUGGACCUUCAAUGAUGCUAAAAUCCCCAGAUCUGUGCCUUGAACACAUUCCUGUCUCGGAGCUCUACGGGCAAUUCCUUCGAAUUCCUUCAAUGGCAAGGCUGUCCCUGCCUUGCCAUUGUAUUGGCUAUCUACGUAAUUUCCGGUCACAACUUGCAGACUUGUUUACGUGUUGCUGUGCGUUUUGUUGCCAACCUAUUUUGCUACCUGACAACUUUACGGUUUUUACUUUUUUAAUUACCGUUUAUAUUUUAGUUUUUUUCCCCUCAACUUUUUCACUCCGGACGCUUUAUCUGGACAUGGUUCGUCAGGACCUCCCUACACUGGCUUCCUGUCAAAGCAAGGGCUGAUUUCAAGGUUUUACUGCUAACCUACAAAGCAUUACAUGGGCUUGCUCCUACCCAUCUCUCUGAUUUGGUCCUGCCAUACAUACCUACACGUACGCUAUGGUCACAAGAUGCAGGCCUCCUAAUUGUCCCUAGAAUUUUUAAGCAAACAGCUGGAGGCAGGGCUUUCUCCUAUAGAGCUCCAUUUUUAUGGAACGGUCUGCCUACCCAUGUCAGAGACGCAAACUUGGUCUCAACCUUUAAGUCUUUACUGAAGACUCAUCUCUUCAGUGGGUCAUAUGAUUGAGUGUAGUCUGGCCCAGGAGUGGGAAGGUGAACGGAAAGGCUCUGGAGCAACGAACCGCCUUUGCUGUCUCUGCCUGGCCGGUUCCCCUCUUUCCACUGGGAUUCUCUGCCUCUAACCCUGUUACAGGGGCUGAGUCACUGGCUUACUGGGGCUCUCUCAUACCGUCCCUGGGAGGGGUGCGUCACCUGAGUGGGUUGAGUCACUGAUGUGGUCAUCCUGUCUGGGUUGGGGCUAUACUCAGCCUGGUCUCAGGAUGGUAAGUUGGUGGUUGAAGAUAUCCCUCUAGUGGUGUGGGGGCUGUGCUUUGGCAAAGUGGGUGGGGUUAUAUCCUUCCUGUUUGGCCCUAGGGUCAGUUUGUUAAAUCUGGAGUACUUCUCCUGUCCUAUUCGGUGUCCUGUGUGAAUUUAAGUGUGCUCUCUCUAAUUCUCUCUUUCUCUCUUUCUUUCUCUCUCUCGGAGGACCUGAGCCCUAGGACCAUGCCUCAGGACUACCUGACAUGAUGACUCCUUGCUGUCCCCAGUCCACCUGGCCGUGCUGCUGCUCCAGUUUCAACUGUCCUGCCUUAUUAUUAUUGGACCAUGCCGGUCAUUUAUGAACAUUUGAACAUCUUGGCCAUGUUCUGUUAUAAUCUCCACCCGGCACAGCCAGAAGAGGACUGGCCACCCCACAUAGCCUGGUUCCUCUCUAGGUUUCUUCCUAGGUUUUGGCCUUUCUAGGGAGUUUUUCCUAGCCACCGUGCUUCUACACCUGCAUUGCUUGCUGUUUGGGGUUUUAGGCUGGGUUUCUGUACAGCACUUUGAGAUAUCAGCUGAUGUACGAAGGGCUAUAUAAAUAAAUGUGAUUUGAUGGCUUGGUUUUUGCUCUGACAUGCACUGUCAACUGUGGGACCUUAUAGAGAGUUUUUUUGCAUUGUCAUUAUCGGGUGUUGUGCGAAGAUUGCUGGAAAAAAAAGACAUGACAAAAUGUGGAAAAAGUCAAGGGGUCGGAAUACUUUCCGAAAGCACUGCAUAACUUUUGACUAAAACAUAAUCAUUUCAAACCUUCCUUGCAUUUGUUUACGGUCACAUAUAUCUCUCUAUUAUGCGUGUGAAUACUUUGGAACAGAUUUCCAAAAUUAAAAUUACGUGGAGCUGA